rnacentral:rRNA from 1 species
CCUACGGGCGGCUGCAGUGGGGAAUAUUGCACAAUGGACGAAAGUCUGAUGCAGCAACGCCGCGUGGAGGAUGACACAUUUCGGUGCGUAAACUCCUUUUAUAUGGGAAGAUAAUGACGGUACCAUAUGAAUAAGCACCGGCUAACUCCGUGCCAGCAGCCGCGGUAAUACGGAGGGUGCAAGCGUUACUCGGAAUCACUGGGCGUAAAGAGCGUGUAGGCGGAUAUAUAAGUCAGAAGUGAAAUCCAAUAGCUUAACUAUUGAACUGCUUUUGAAACUGUAUAUCUAGAAUGUGGGAGAGGUAGAUGGAAUUUCUGGUGUAGGGGUAAAAUCCGUAGAGAUCAGAAGGAAUACCGAUUGCGAAGGCGAUCUACUGGAACAUUAUUGACGCUGAGACGCGAAAGCGUGGGGAGCAAACAGGAUUAGAUACCCGUGUAGUC